AUUGAACGCUGGCGGCAUGCCUUACACAUGCAAGUCGAACGGCAGCGGGGACUUCGGUCCGCCGGCGAGUGGCGAACGGGUGAGUAAUAUAUCGGAACGUACCUUUCAGUGGGGGAUAACGUAGCGAAAGUUACGCUAAUACCGCAUAUUCUGUGAGCAGGAAAGCAGGGGAUCGCAAGACCUUGCGCUGAUUGAGCGGCCGAUAUCAGAUUAGCUAGUUGGUGAGGUAAAGGCUCACCAAGGCGACGAUCUGUAGCGGGUCUGAGAGGAUGAUCCGCCACACUGGAACUGAGACACGGUCCAGACUCCUACGGGAGGCAGCAGUGGGGAAUUUUGGACAAUGGGGGCAACCCUGAUCCAGCCAUGCCGCGUGAGUGAAGAAGGCC
rnacentral:rRNA from 1 species